CCCUUAGAUGUCCUGGGCCGCACGCGCGCUACACUGAUGCAUGCAACGAGUUUAUAACCUUGGCCUGAAAGGUCUGGGUAAUCUUUUGAACGUGCAUCGUGAUAGGGAUAGAUUAUUGCAAUUGUUAAUCUUGAACGAGGAAUUCCUAGUAAACGCGAGUCAUCAGCUCGCAUUGAUUACGUCCCUGCCCUUUGUACACACCGCCCGUCGCACCUACCGAUUGAAUGGUUCGGUGAAGAUCUCGGACUUCGAUAUUUAUUCUUUAUUGAGUUUAUAUUGGGGGAAGUUAUCUAAACCUCAUCAUUUAGAGGAAGGUGAAGUCGUAACA
rnacentral:rRNA from 1 species